UUUGUCCGUGUGAGAAGGUCUGUGUCUGAAUUACUAUACUUAAUUUAUCUUACCUAAAAGAUCGCUCAAAUAUUUUGAAGAUGUAAUGAUAUUUAGAAUGUUACUGCAUAUUCCUACAGGACAUUGAUGAUGCUCUCCAGAAGAAUGGAAUCAGGAGGGACAUUGAUGUCUGUCAACUUUACCUUGCCAGAAAAGUAGUCUUAUCAUAACUUCUAACUAUGGAAUCUAUAACUUAAGAAUUUCAAAUGAGGCCCUAUUCAUUGAAAGGCUGUAGAUGUGAUGUGACCUGGAAAUUAUAAUUUGUUGGAAAAUAUAAAUCAUGUCAGUAUAUGCCAGUAUUAUGUUACAUAAAAUGCUUUUAUGCAAAUUAACGAAAUUUUAGUAUAGAGGACUCGUCAAUAUUCCAGACUUGUCAAGAUUCUUCGUGCUGAGAUACUUAUGGCUGAAUAACAACAAGGUACUGUAGCCAACAUCACAAACAGAUAAUGAUACUGUGUACAGUUAUAUUAAAUGUGGGAAUGUGUGACACUAACACUAGGCAGCUCAUGACAGAAUAGCCAAGAAUGGAAAAAAAUUAUAAUUUCCCAUUUCCAAUUCAUAAUGUUCAGUAAAUGUUUAAAAUUAACGAACUCUCCUACCAUUCCCUUAACUGUUGCAUGACAGAACUUUACCUCCAAAAUAAUAAAAUCAAAUCUAUUUCAGGUAAAUAUUACGAUCUUUGUUUUCCUAAGCAUAUGCUAUAACAUUGCAUUGCAUUGCAUUUCUUCUGUGUGAGUUUGUCUUGCUGUGGAUCUGUGUUUUAGCAAGGUUUUUCUUAUAACAAAUUGCAUCAAGAUGAUAUUCAGCGCAUCCUCAAGCGCAGAAAUGCCUGUCCUGUCUUUAUAGCCUGUUCCCAGAUCUGUUUGUGCUCUUGCCAACUCCAUUGCAGUCAUUGUCAAGACAAGUUCGGCAUGAAAAUUCCACAUGGAGUUAAGAGAGCAGAAACAGGCUGGCACCCAGGCUACUGUCUUUACUGUAUGUUUUCCAUUCCCAGGCGCCCUGGGACACCUAACCUGUCUUAGGAUUCUUCUUCUGCACAACAACCAGAUGAAGAGGCUGGAGGACUGCGUGGCUGAGCUGAGGAACUUGCAGCAUCUCCACACUGUCACUUUAUUUCCUGAAUCGCUUCUCACAAAAGACUGGAUGUCGUCACUAUGUGGUCCAUAACUUGCCGUCAGUGCAGUUAUUGGAUAGAAGAGUCCCUGGCAUUUGGCAGGCGGGCAGAGACUCCUGCCAGCAGAGAGACUGGCAUCUAUGGGGAGGGACGACACCUUACUCACGGAGCCCAUUCGAUGAGACAGCAGAUCCGAGUGUGCGCAGGACCAUGCAGAGAUCUAUCAUGCAGUUCUCCACUGUGGACUGGAGGGCCAUCCCCACCACCAAAGGAAUGGAGACCAGCCAGGGGCCAACAUCCUCACUGUCAUGUUCAGAUAACAGCACCAGCAACACAAGGGGUGAUUCUCAAUUGUAUUUAACAGAUUCUGCAUGUCCUCUUUCCUUGGCUUCUUCUAAAAACGCAUUGGAGAAGAUCCCAGGGGAGGAACCUCAGAUCUUCUGCUCCAAUAUGCUUUGAGAAGAGGAGGAGGAUGUGAGGAAAUACAAUUGAGAUUCACGCCUGGAGGUCAUCCCACUGUGGUGCCAUGCUGUAUGAGCCUGUAGAGGGAGCUCUAGCUGAAUUAAACCAGUCAAUAGAAUCACAGUUUCCUCAUUACUACUAUACAACAAACAAACGCCCCAGUUCAAUGUUACACAGCACAGGAUGAACUUGAGGAAGAACUCCGGAAC